ensembl:snRNA U6 U6 spliceosomal RNA
GUGCUUACUUCAGCAGCACAUAUAGUAAAAUUGGAAUGAGACAGAAUUAGCAUGGCCCCCAUGCAAGGAUGAUAUCAUCCUUGAAUGAGUUUUGCUGGGACAUC